GUGAAUCAUCGAAUUUUUGAACGCAAAUUGAACUCUUCUCGGAGAGGAAGCCUGUUUGAGGGUCAGCCUAUAAAAAACCGACAUCGCUGCGGUUUCGCGGUGGAGUUGGUCGGUAAUUGGGUCAUCUUAAAUCCUUUGGGUCUAUAAGCGACUUAAAAUGUUGUUGUAAGUUCCAUGAACGUUUAUAAGCUGUAUUUCUGUAUACGUUUAAGGUAUUGAUUUUUAUUAGAUGUGACCAUCAUAUCGGA
rnacentral:misc_RNA from 1 species